AACUCAAAGGAAACAAGGUUUGCAAGGAACACCAAAGGUUGGCUUCCUCCACUCCAAGGCAGGAUCAACUCAAUCUAAGCUGCUCCCUGGAAUGCUUGGCAUCUCUGCCUCUUCCUCUUUGUCUAGGAGCCUUACAGGGGCAGACACAACCCUGGCGAUGAAUCCCUGCAGUGAACCCACCCCACUGAGGUGCAGGAGAUGCUGACACGUCCGGAGUUCAUCACUCAUUCUCCCAGCACAGGUUUGAAGCUCCCAGAUUGCAGUGUCAUUCUAGUAGAAGAAUUGAGCAGAUCAAAUUCUUUGACAGAUGAAAGCAGAGAAAAGGAAAUGCAAAUAUUUUCAGUUGUGCUAGUAAUGUUAAUAACUGAUGCAAAAAGAAGAUUUUGCUUCUGGCCAUCAUUGAUGAUGAACAAGACACGUACAGUAAAGAGGGGACAUACUUUGAACAGAUGCAAUUUUAAUAUUCACCUGCUGAGUCCUAACUUUGGAAAGCAGAACUUCUGUAAUCCAACCAUGAGAAGGUGGAGAAGAUUUAGCAAUGAAAAAGCAAGGUGGUUUAGAGGUCCUCUGAGACAGCUGAAAAAUCUGUAUUCAGGUGACAGAUGCCACUCACCUAUCACAGCAGAGCCAAGACACUAGAUGCUAUUGGAUAUUUUUAAGGAAACAGAUCUACUCUACUAGAUCAGAGAAAAGGUCCUCAUGUCAGCAGUCUCCAACAGAAGAUGCUUAGGGCAAAUGUACAUAGUAAAGGUUAUAUUUUCCCUGAAUAUCCUCCUAAACUCCAGACAUUUUCCAUUCAGAGGAUUGCUGAGCUGAAGUAUGUAUGUACGCAGUCAGUAAACUUCACUGUUUCCUUACCCAUUUGGUAUGCUGUACAUGUGAAAAAAGGAAGGAAAGCAAGUUGUCUGAUAGCCACGUGUUUAUCAAAAAUCUAAUUCUAAGUAAUAUGGAGCCUACAUUCAUCACCUCAGCAAGAUCAGAUGGGAUGGAAGCAAGAAUUUAAGGAGAAGGAUGAAAACAGAGAUUGACAGCUUGCCUCAUCUCUCCCACCAAGUAUACAAGUAUUACUUUAAUAUUGGUGAUAUGAAUGUACUAUGUUUGGCAGUAUUGUGACAUUAUUUGAUAACAGUAUCAAGAAAUAUUCUGAUAUUAUCCUUAUUCUUCAUUAAAAAUGAAAGAUUUUCAUUUUAAAGGAUUUUUGAAUGCCUAAUCAAUCUUCCCAAAAACAUGAGACUGACUGAAAGUUAAGAUGGAAUAAAAUCUUCAGUUGUUG
rnacentral:lncRNA from 7 species